GGGUUUUUCUUCAAGAGCAGUCGAAAAAGAACGUCUCUAACUACAUUUGAAAAGAAAAACCUUCUUCCUAACUCUGCCUUUCGCGACACCUCCCCCCUACGAAAAAGAGUGACCCACUCGUUUUAUUUACAAUGCACGCAAACAAAUAUGAAAAAACAG
rnacentral:lncRNA from 1 species